rnacentral:rRNA from 1 species
GCCUACGACCAUCUCACCCUGAAUGCGCCCGAUCUCGUCUGAUCUCGGAAGCUAAGCAGAGUCGAGCCUGGUUAGUGCUUGGAUGGGAGACUGCCUGGAAAUACCAGGUGUUGUAGGCU